GGUAUGAAUUUCAUAGACCAUACACUUAGAUUACUUAGAUGUUUAUGAAAUGAAAGUGUAUGUGUGUAUGUGUGUGUGUGUGUGUGUGUUUGUAUACACUGAAUUUAAUUUAUAAUUGUACCUCAUAGCAGAAAACUGAACCUUAGCAGAUAGGGUCCCUUCAAAUUUUUCCUAUUUUAGUAAGCUUAGGGCUCCUUCCUAUUCCUAUCCCCACUGCCCCACUGUGGCAUAGAUUCUAAAUGUAAGGGAAUAAAAGCAGUCUAAUGGAACGUGGUAAAAGCAAGCUGCAAGAAUCUAGUCCUUGCAUUACAUCUAUCCAUAGCUAGCAUCUGCUGAGAUGACCAUUAAGAAUAAAAAUAGCUAACAUAUAUGAAACACUCAUAUAACCCUAUGCUAGGUCCUUUACAUAUCUGAAUUCACCCAGCCUUCAUAACAGCCCGUGAAGUAAGUACUAUUAUUACAAUGUGCAUUUUAUAGAUAGGAAAACUGAUGCACAGAGUUUAAAAACUGGGCCAGGUUUAUGCAGCACUUAAGAAACAGAGCUGGAGUUUGAACGCAAUACUGGAACUCUGGAACUUCAGCUUGGAAUCUCUGUGCUCGGCAGGCUCUCCUGCUGUCUACUCCUUCCAUAUAAGCCUCCACAUCAGCACAAGCUGAAGCUAUUGUAUUAUAUUUGGAAGGUAAUGUGACGCAUUCCACAGCGGCUUCCUCAUCCCUCCCUCUGCAGACUGCUGGUUCUCUAAGUCCCGACUGUGCCACUCAUGUGCAAUACAUGUGGUAUAAAAUGACUUGUCUGCUCACUCCUAGAACCUAUUGAGGUUUACAGGGCCUCUGGGCCUCGUGUCCAUCAGCCAAAUAACUCACGUAAACAUCACUAUGUAUUCACAGGGUCAUGGUUUUGGGAGUGUUCUAAAUGUUUAAAGUAUUCCAAUCAGAAAGCUGGAUGCUCUGUCACUCUACCCAGGAGUGCAGUCAGAAUAAUCUCUAAUUCAAGAGGACACUGGUCCAUGGCUAUCUUUCUUUUCUUACUGUAUCUUGUAACUUCUGUGGUGCUUUAUCGAGAUUUACCAGAUGGCCCUGGAUUGAUUUGCCAAAGAUCCACCCAGGAAUCCUGACUCAUUAAAGAAGGGUGGAGAUUUUCUGAGCUAAGCGAGAGACCUUUCCUCAGAGGUCAUUUUCUCUUCGACUUCUUCUGAGGCAACUCCUGCAGCCAGCCCCCAAAGACAGAAUCAGAUAAUAGGAAUUCAAAAACCUAACUUAACUGUGAGCCAUGUUACAAGGUUCAAGACCUUCAGCAACAGCCAGUUUUACUAAGUUACUAAUAGUCAAGGAGACACAGGAAGAAGAUGGCCAUCUAAAAGUCAAAAGAAGAAGCCUGGAACAGAUUUUUCCCUCACAGUUCUCAGAAGGAGCCAGUGGUGCCGACAACUUGAUCUAGUCUCCAGAGCUAUACCACAACCAAUUCCACUUAUUUAAGCCACCUAGGUUGUGGUACCUCGCUACAGCAUCACCUAGAAAAUUAAUGCACCUUCAUUACCCAGAGAUAACCUCAGUAAACACUUACUAUACAUUUAAAAAUCUGUGGCCUAUUUCUGUUUACUUAUUCAAAUAUUUUUUUUUCACAUAACACUAAAUUUUGAACAAAUUUUUCAGUCUAUGGCGGUGACGUCUUGUGCCCUACCCUGAAGUCCAUUUUUCCUUCCUCCCAGUAACAAUGCUCUAAUUUUAGUGCUCAAUCAAAAGAUAACAUUUGCAGCCUCCCUUGGGCCAUGUGCUUAUUUAUCUAAAUUCUGGACAAAAUGAUGUUAGCAGAAAUGUUGUAUUGGACUGUAAAGAACUGCAAAGUUUCUAAAAUUUUGCACUACUUGAAAGCAAAAAAGAAACCCUUCCACAGAAAGGUGGUUUUCUUGUCCCAGUUUUCUGAGUGCCAAUUCCCACAGGGCCAGAAGAGGAUGAGACACUUACAGAGCCUAAAACUUUUAUAAUGGUCAGUGAACCUGCACACCCUUUGUGUAGGACAGAAAUGCUGUUUCUACCUUGCAAGGCUGCUUCCUAUAAAAAAUUCUUAAAACGAUAGACCACCAGCCAACGUUUUGAGGAUGCAUUCAUAUUUUCAGAAUGACAGUAGGAAGAGAGGAAACUGAGCUCCAUACUAGUCCUGGCCUAUGCACCCCCCCAGACUUCUUUUAUGGCUGAGGAAAUUAAACUUCUUUAGUUAAAUCACUUAUUUUGGGAAUUUUCUGUGGUGCUGUCCAAUCCUAGGUCUAACUGGCAUGCAGUCAAUAAAACUUACAUUUAAAACUUCAUUUUUCAGCCGGGCACAGUGGCUCACAUGUGUAAUCCCAGCACCAAGUCAGGUGCAUCACCUGAGGUCAGGAAUUUGAGACCAGACUGGCCAACAUCGUGAAACCCUGUCUCUAUUAAAAUACAAAAUUAUUUUACUCUAUUAAAAAUACAAAAUUUAGCCGGGCGCGGUGGCGGGCACCUGUAAUCCCAGCUACUCGUAAGGCUGAGGCCGGAGAAUCAUUUGAACUCAGGAGGCAGAGGUUGCAGUGAGCCGAGGUGGCGCCAUUGCACUCCAGCCUGGGCAACAAGAGUGAAACUCCAUCUCAAAAAUAAAUAAAUAAAUAAAUAAAUAAAUAAAUAAAUAAAUAAAUAAAUAAAAUAAAAUAAAAUACUUCAUUUUUCAUAAUGACAAAGAAGUAAAUCAUAUAAUCAUACCAUCAUUUCCUUAGUUAAACCCAUUAUUGUACUCCCC
rnacentral:lncRNA from 10 species